rnacentral:rRNA from 1 species
CCCUUAGAUGUUCUGGGCCGCACGCGCGCUACACUGAUGCAUUCAACGAGCCUAUCCUUGACCGACAGGUCCGGGUAAUCUUUGAAUCUGCAUCGUGACGGGGAUAGAUUAUUGCAAUUAUUAAUCUUCAACGAGGAGUGCCUAGUAGGCGCAAGUCAUCAGCUUGCGUCGAUUACGUCCCUGCCCUUUGUACACACCGCCCGUCGCUCCUACCGAUUGGGUGUGCUGGUGAAAUGUUCGGAUCGGCCGUUUGUCGCGGUUUCCGCGGCUCGUGGCUGAGAAGUUCAUUAAACCCUCCCACCUAGAGGAAGGAGAAGUCGCAACA